UACGGUAGGACCAUCAGACGGUCCGGUAGGCGACUCGCGCCAGUUUUUCCGGCGUUGUACUCGGUACGGUCCGAACGGUAAUCUCCUUAUAUAUAAAAAUGAAUUGCUGUUCGUUAGUCUCGCUAAAACUCAUUCGACGUUCGAUCCUUGUUGAGAAAGGUACUCUGUGUUAAAUUUUAGUAAAUUAUUUGAAAAUCUAUCAGCUGAAAAUAGUUCUUAUGUUAGUAAUUUUAAGUGUUGUAUCCGUGUGCUGUGACAGUGAUUGUGCUCAUAUCGAGUUAGAUUAAAUUAUUUUACAUCUCUUUCUCGCAUCGCUUGUGCCGGCCGUAACUGAGGGGCUACCUCACCCCUUAUUACUCACAGAAAAGAACAUAACUAUAUCGCUAUCUCUGUAUUCUUGAAGCAAUGGCCACUCAGCGAACUCCACCAAAAAGUGACGUCAACAAAUACCCGUCAAACCCGGAGAUACCUACAGCUGUUGCGAAAGAAUAUGCGAAUAUCAACACACGCAAACGAAAACAAUUUGACGAAUGCAACCCAAUGUCUCAAUUAGAGAUAAGAUUCGAGCAACAACUAACUACUUGGGAUAAUAAAAUAACUGAAACGAUAAAUAGAAGUAUAACAACAGCUAUAAAUUCGGCCUUAACUCAGGAAUUAUCAAAAAUAACAACUGCACUAUCUGAUCUAAAUUCAAAUGUAUCAAAAUUAAACAAAGAAACUUUAAAUAUAAAAAACUCUGUAUCUGAAAUGGGAACUCGGAUCCAAGAGAUUGAAAACUCCUUAGAUUUCACUUCGGAAAAACAAGCAAGUUUAGAGAAUAAGAUUAAAGAAAUUGAAUACAAAAUAUCCCCUAUUAAUACCUUGUCCACGGAUUUCGAAGGAGUUAAACAGAAAUUAUUAGUGAUGGAACAACAGGCAAGAUCAUGCAAUAUUGAAAUAUCAAAUCUUCCUGAAAGGCGUGGCGAAAAUUUACUUACCCAGUUAGAAAAACUAUUUAACGCGAUCAAGCACCCACUUAAUGCGUCGGACAUUGUAUCAGUCCACCGUGUUCCACAUGCUGAUCAAAAAAGCUCAUCCCCGAAGAACAUCAUUGUGAAGUUACCGACACGCAUAAUGCGAGACAACCUAAUCGCAGCCUAUCGAGCAGCCAAGGGCUUAACUUCUACACAACUAUCAAUUACGGGCCCCGCUCAUAGAAUAUACAUAAAUGAGCAUUUAACGCUUAACAACAAGCAUUUAUUUCGCCAAACUCGGGAAAAUGCCAAAAAACAUAACUUUAAGUAUGUUUGGGUUAAAAAUGGAACCAUAUUUGCUCGUAAAACAGAUACAACACCCAUUAUUGUUAUUCGUUCACAACAAGAUAUCGGUAAGAUUAAUUAAUCUGGUGUUAUUUAACAACAAGUACAUUGUAAUUGUAUUAAAAAUAAUUACACUACAUGAAUUUAUGCGAUUAAACCUUAAGUAUAGAAUAAGCCUUAACUAUAGUCAGCUAUAUAACUAUUUCAUAAAGUCUAAUAACUAUAAAUUAAAAACAAUAAUUAUAAAAGUUACCCAUAAAUGCAUUUCAAAACUAUCCAUAUCAAUAUUAUGUUUAUCUGUUAAUAUGUAUCAUAAUGAUUGUCAAAGUGGAUAUAGUAAAUAUUUAUUAGUUACUUAUUUUAAUGAAAUAUUUCUGUCUAUUGUAAAACAUAUUCUGAUUCCAUGUGUGCAAGGCAUAAUUACAUUUGAUGAAGCAUAUUAUGACAUGCCCAUCAUAUAUAUUAUUCAAUAUCUUGCAACUACCGUAUUUUUGAUGUGUCUAUUAAUUAUCAAUAAUAUAUAUAUAUAUUAGUACUACAAUUAAUUUCAAAAAGAUGUACAAUGGAUAAAUACAAUCUGUGUCUAUUCUAUCAGAAUUGUCAACUUAAAUUAAAUCCUGUUUGUCCAAACAUAAUGACUAGGAUAAUUACUUUAAUAUUUGGGGUCUUGGAACUUAUUGGUAGGUGGUAUUUAAUAAAUUUUGGAAUAUGCUUUAUAUCCUUAUUAUCUCGUUAUGUGUUUAUAAAAAAAUUAGCAGUAGAUUUUCAAAUGACUCUUUAUUAUAAUCUCUCAAUUUUAAUUUGCAUAUUUCAGAAAGGGAUAAUGAAAAGAUUUGACUCAAUCAUGUUUCAAUGUGCUAUACAUAUUAUGUCUAUUAAUUCUAUAGUUAAAACCUCUAUUAUUAUUUUCAUAAUAUCCAAUGGCUAAUAAAAGCACACUUAGUAUUUAUUAUCAGAACUGCAGGGGCAUUCGUACAAAGUUACACACACUUUACACUAACAUAUUGACUAACUGCUAUGACAUUAUCUUACUUACAGAGACAUGGCUUAUACCUGAUAUAAAUAAUUCUGAAUUUAUUGACUCCCGUUACUGUGUGUUCAGACAUGACAGAGACCGCUCCAUAACUAACAAAAAAGAUGGUGGAGGAGUUCUAAUAGCAGUGCUUGAACACCUCCAUUCCAUUCCAAUGCAUCCAUCUAUGACAAGCCGCUAUUGACAGACAUCGCUAACGACACCAUGAGGGAAAUCAGUAAUAACUUGCACCCCCAAGAGAUCACAUCUUAGCAAAAGUACUAUAUUCAUGUCUCGAGGCGCCUAAUGAAAGUAACCCAGAGAGCCAGUCCCCGUCCGAAGAUACAAGACCUGCGUAUCUAGCUUGGCUCCUAGAGGAGCCUAUAAUUAAGCCCAUAACAUCCUGCCGAUAUCUAAAACCAGAUCUCAGAAGGAACAGAAGAAUAAGAAAGCCAUGUAAUAUUUGUUCGUAGACUUAUCGGUUCUAUAAAUAGCUCUAUCUAUAAA